rnacentral:misc_RNA from 1 species
CAAAUCUCACACCCAAAAAGCCAAGAACAUGCAAGACAAAUAAAUAAAACCAAGCCAAGAGGGAAAAGAAAAAUUCACUGAGAGAGAGGGAGAGAGAGGGGGGGAAGCGAAUGAGGUGGCGCCCACCGCAUGUCAGGCGCACUGGGCCAGAAGGAGAGAAGUAUGACCCUGGAGUUGAUAUGUGGGUUCCUAUAAAAUGAGAACUUGUCCUCGUGGUGUGUCUGAUAAUUGAUAAGUGGUUGAAUGUCAUUGAGUUCCAGUUAUAGCCAACUCUGGUUUUCAGUUAAACAGCUAACAACUUGGCUCGUUUUCAUUUUUGAGUUCUUUUUUUCUUUCACUUCUGUGUUUGACCUCAAAUUCGAGAUAAUUUGAUAUUUAGUGAGAGAUAAGGAGGGAAGGUGAUAGGAGUUAUGAUGGCUGGGAUUAGAUCACAAUGGAGUGGUUUGAGUUUGAGGUCGGUAGGAGCAAUUUGUGUCUGUUAUCUUGGUGUAGCUUCCAUGAUUUUUUUAGCAGAGGCAAGAUUGAAACAGGAAGGUUCACUUGACAAUGAGAGUGAAGAGGAUGAAUCUGGUUUCUUGAUGAGAGUACUCAAUUUCUUGUGGCAAAAAGGCCAAUUGGGUUAUACACAUGUUUGGCCUGAAAUGAAAUUUGGUUGGCAAAUUGUGGUGGGUAGCAUAAUUGGAUUCUUUGGAGCAGCAUUUGGAAGCGUGGGUGGUGUUGGUGGGGGUGGUAUUUUUGUUCCCAUGCUCACCUUGAUUAUUGGGUUUGACGCAAAAUCAUCGACUGCAAUAUCAAAAUGUAUGAUUACUGGUGCAGCAGCUUCAACAGUUUACUAUAAUUUAAAGCUUAGGCAUCCAACACUUGAUUUGCCCAUAAUUGACUAUGACUUGGCACUCUUGUUCCAACCAGUGCUGGUGCUGGGAAUCAGCGUUGGUGUUGCUUUCAAUGUGAUUUUUGCUGACUGGAUGAUCACAGUUCUGCUAAUUAUUCUCUUCUUAGGCACAUCAACUAAGGCUUUCUUCAAAGGUGUAGAAACAUGGAAAAAAGAAACUAUUAUAAAAAAGGAGGCAGCUAGACGAUUGGCUUCAAAUGGUGAUGGUAGUGAAGAAGUGGAAUACAAACCUCUUCCUGGAGGUCCCAGCAAUGGUGCAAGACCAGAAUCCAAUGAGUCUAAAAGAGAAGAGGUUUCUGUUCUUGAGAAUGUUCAAUGGAAGGAACUUGGAAUUCUCUUCGCUGUGUGGUUGAUUAUCCUCACAUUAGAGAUUACCAAGAAUAAUACAACAACUUGUUCAGUGGCAUAUUGGGUUUGCAAUCUAUUGCAGAUUCCAGUUGCUCUUGGAGUUUCUUCAUAUCAGGCGGUUAGCUUGUACAAAGGACAGAGGAAAAUAGCAUCAAAGGGAGAGGCAGACACAAAUUGGAGAGUACACCAGCUGGUUCUUUAUUGUUGCUGUGGAGUAUUGGCUGGUAUAGUUGGUGGGUUGCUUGGUCUUGGUGGAGGAUUCAUUUUGGGACCACUUUUUCUGGAGUUGGGAGUCCCUCCGCAGGUACAUUUAUUACUUCUCUUAAGAGGUUUCAUUGUUAUGAUUAAUGGUGUUUGAUGGUUGACUAUUGUGGAAUGGCCUUGUGAAAGUCCAUUUGGAGUGAAGGAAAUAGAUUUCCUUCUUUCACAGAAGAAAUAGUGGGCCUUUGAUGGUUGUAAAGAGGAUCUUCGAUGAAAACUACUGAAUACAGAUUCACAUGAGUUACACAACUCAGUGAAGGACUACUCAAGUUCAAGAGAUAUCUGGAAUUUAUCAUUUUAAGAACUUAAAAUAUUGGCGAUCGAUAUGAAAUGACUUAGUAAUUCUUUAAAUCCUUGAGUCCAUGGCUGAUCUGAUUUCUUGAAAGCUUUCAUGUAGGUGUCAAGUGCCACAGCUACGUUUGCCAUGACAUUUUCUGCAUCCAUGUCUGUCAUAGAGUAUUAUCUGUUGAAACGUUUUCCCGUUCCUUAUGGUGAGCUAUAUAGCCACUCAACAAUUCUUUUUUUAAGAGCGUAUUACCACAACAUGAAUUAUGACUUCUGUUAACACAGAAAAAUAUUUACUGCUUUCACAAUUCAUUGCAUCUGUAAUUUUUUGUUUUUUACUUUUACACAGCACUAUACUUUGCUGCUGUCACAACUGUCGCCGCCUUGGUAGGGCAGCAUGUGGUAAGAAAGCUUAUCAGUAUAUUCGGGAGAGCGUCUAUAAUCAUCUUCAUUCUGUCAUUCACAAUAUUUGUGAGUGCAAUAUCACUGGGUGGGGUUGGUAUAGCAAGCAUGAUAGCGAAGAUUGAAAACCACGAGUACAUGGGAUUUGAGAACAUUUGUUCGUAUGAAGCUUAGUCUUGAUAACCUUUUCUUCAGGUGUAUAAAUAGCUUUGCCAUUUGUUUAUCUUAAUUAACUUAAAAUUUCUCAUGUGUCAAUUUUUGAAUCCUAGGAUUUUGAUCAACCCAAAAAAGAUAAAAAAGGAUAAAUAAACAUUUCAUUGUGCUUCAACUUUCAAACCCAAUCCAAAUUAUUUUGUGUUUCACACAAUUAACUCUCCUACAUUGUAAUAUUUUACAGUUGAACAAUCAAAUGCUGCUAAUAGUUUGAUGUUAUACCAAUUCAAAUGGG